AGCUCGGAAACCAUAACGUACACCGAUGUCUUGGGCAAGUGCUCCUGUCUGCUCUUUCCUCGGAGGAAAUGAAAUAGCGGCCAGAACGUGGCCCGUGGGUCUCUCUGCCUGCUUGGGAUUUUCCAAAGACAUUGAAUUCCCCCUGACUAACUUCAGGCAACUGGGGAGAAACUGCAAACUCACUUGCAAGUGAUGUCCAUGAGGAAAGGCACCUUCUCAGAGCCAAAUCACCCUCCAGACUCUGCAGUUAUUAACCUGAGCAAGUAACGGGCUCUGGGUGUCCAUUCAAACCCARUCAGCCCCACUGACAAGCCUUCUGUAUCACCCUGUCUCCUGAGGCAGUCUCCUCUGGU